rnacentral:rRNA from 1 species
AGUGAACGCUGGCGGUAGGCCUAACACAUGCAAGUCGAACGGCAGCACAGUAAGAGCUUGCUCUUACGGGUGGCGAGUGGCGGACGGGUGAGGAAUACAUCGGAAUCUACUUUUUCGUGGGGGAUAACGUAGGGAAACUUACGCUAAUACCGCAUACGACCUACGGGUGAAAGCAGGGGAUCUUCGGACCUUGCGCGAUUGAAUGAGCCGAUGUCGGAUUAGCUAGUUGGCGGGGUAAAGGCCCACCAAGGCGACGAUCCGUAGCUGGUCUGAGAGGAUGAUCAGCCACACUGGAACUGAGACACGGUCCAGACUCCUCGGGAGGCAGCAGUGGGGAAUAUUGGACAAUGGGCGCAAGCCUGAUCCAGCCAUACCGCGUGGGUGAAGAAGGCCUUCGGGUUGUAAAGCCCUUUUGUUGGGAAAGAAAAGCAGCAGGUUAAUACCCCGCUGUUCUGACGGUACCCAAAGAAUAAGCACCGGCUAACUUCGUG